CCCACCUAGCCGACGAUGGAUAGGGGUUCUGAGAGGAAGGUCCCCCACAUUGGAACUGAGACACGGUCCAAACUCCUACGGGAGGCAGCAGUGAGGAAUAUUGGUCAAUGGGCGCGAGCCUGAACCAGCCAAGUAGCGUGAAGGAUGAAGGUCCUAUGGAUUGUAAACUUCUUUUAUACGGGAAUAAAGUGGUCCACGUGUGGACUUUUGCAUGUACCGUAUGAAUAAGCAUCGGCUAACUCCGUGCCAGCAGCCGCGGUAAUACGGAGGAUGCGAGCGUUAUCCGGAUUUAUUGGGUUUAAAGGGAGCGCAGACGGGGGAUUAAGUCAGUUGUGAAAGUUUGCGGCUCAACCGUAAAAUUGCAGUUGAUACUGGUUCCCUUGAGUGCAGUUGAGGCAGGCGGAAUUCGUGGUGUAGCGGUGAAAUGCAUAGAUAUCACGAAGAACCCCGAUUGCGAAGGCAGCCUGCUAAGCUGUAACUGACGUUGAGGCUCGAAAGUGUGGGUAUCAAACAGGAUUAGAUACCCUGGUAGUCCACACGGUAAACGAUGGAUACUCGCUGUUGGCGAUAUACUGUCAGCGGCCAAGCGAAAGCAUUAAGUAUCCCACCUGGGGAGUACGCCGGCAACGGUGAAACUCAAAGGAAUUGACGGGGGCCCGCACAAGCGGAGGAACAUGUGGUUUAAUUCGAUGAUACGCGAGGAACCUUACCCGGGCUUAAAUUGCAGACGAAUUACUUGGAAACAGGUAAGCCGCAAGGCGUCUGUGAAGGUGCUGCAUGGUUGUCGUCAGCUCGUGCCGUGAGGUGUUGGCUUAAGUGCCAUAACGAGCGCAACCCUCGUGGCCAGCUACUAGCAGGUAAUGCUGAGGACUCUGGCCAGACUGCCAUCGUAAGAUGCGAGGAAGGUGGGGAUGACGUCAAAUCAGCACGGCCCUUACGUCCGGGGCUACACACGUGUUACAAUGGGAGGUACAGAAGGCAGCUACCCGGCGACGGGAUGCCAAUCUCCAAAGCCUCUCUCAGUUCGGACUGGAGUCUGCAACCCGACUCCACGAAGCUGGAUUCGCUAGUAAUCGCGCAUCAGCCACGGCGCGGUGAAUACGUUCCCGGGCCUUGUACACACCGCCCGUCAAGCCAUGAAAGCCGGGAGUACCUGAAGUGCGUAACCGCAAGGAGCGCCCUAGGGUAAAACCGGUAGUUGGGGCUAAGUCGUAACAAGGUA
rnacentral:rRNA from 1 species